rnacentral:lncRNA from 1 species
GGAUGAUUCAAUUGCUGCAAAAGGAUGUGUUUGGGAGCAAGCAGAAAUGGAGCAGCUCUGUUCAAGGGGGAAAUAAGGCUACAGCUAAGAGUUCUGGGAAGUUGAAGAAAUGGCCUCAAGUUGCACCAGGGGAGGUGAUAUAACAGUAACAUCACAAUAUUUUCAGGAAUAACCAAAUGUGAAGAUCUGAUUCUUUUUCUUGCACCCUCUGGUGGCAAUAUCCAUAUA